rnacentral:rRNA from 1 species
CAGUAGCCACGGGAAUACGAAGGGGGCUAGCGUUGUUCGGAAUUACCGGGCGUAAAGCGCACGUAGGCGGAUACUUAAGUUAGGGGUGAAAUCCCAGGGCUCAACCCUGGAACUGCCUUUAAUACUGUGUAUCUUGAGUUCGAGAGAGGUAAGUGGAAUUCCGAGUGUAGAGGUGAAAUUCGUAGAUAUUCGGAGGAACACCAGUGGCGAAGGCGGCUUACUGGCUCGAUACUGACGCUGAGGUGCGAAAGCGUGGGGAGCAAACAGGAUUAGAUACCCCGGUAGUCCCUGUCUCUUAUAC